AAUGAACGCUGGCGGCGUGCCUAACACAUGCAAGUUGAAUGUGCUCGCAAGAGUGCAUGGCAGACGGGUGAGUAACGCGUGGAUAACCUACCUCUUUGUGGGGAAUAACGCUCCGAAAGGAGUGGUAAUACCGCAUGAGACCAAAAGCUGGAAUGCUUUUGGUGAAACCUGGGGACCGUAAGGCCUAGGGCAAGGAGAGGGUUCUGCGUCUGAUUAGCUAGUUGGUGAGGUAACUGCUCACCAAGGCGACGAUCAGUAGCCGGCCUGAGAGGGUGAUCGGCCACACUGGAACUGAGACACGGUCCAGACUCCUACGGGAGGCAGCAGUGGGGAAUAUUGCGCAAUGGGCGAAAGCCUGACGCAGCAACGCCGCGUGGGUGAUGAAGGUCUUCGGAUUGUAAAACCCUGUCGUUAGGGACGAAGACUAUUAAUCUAAUACAUUAAUAGUUUGACGGUACCUAGAAAGGAAGCCCCGGCUAACUCUGUGCCAGCAGCCGC
rnacentral:rRNA from 1 species